UACCCUACGGGAGGCAGCAGUGGGGAAUUUUGGACAAUGGGCGCAAGCCUGAUCCAGCAAUGCCGCGUGAGUGAAGAAGGCCUUCGGGUUGUAAAGCUCUUUUGUCAGGGAAGAAACGGUAGAGGCUAAUAUCCUUUGCUAAUGACGGUACCUGAAGAAUAAGCACCGGCUAACUACGUGCCAGCAGCCGCGGUAAUACGUAGGGUGCAAGCGUUAAUCGGAAUUACUGGGCGUAAAGCGUGCGCAGGCGGUUUUGUAAGUCUGACGUGAAAUCCCCGGGCUCAACCUGGGAAUUGCGUUGGAGACUGCAAGGCUAGAAUCUGGCAGAGGGGGGUAGAAUUCCACGUGUAGCAGUGAAAUGCGUAGAGAUGUGGAGGAACACCGAUGGCGAAGGCAGCCCCCUGGGUCAAGAUUGACGCUCAUGCACGAAAGCGUGGGGAGCAAACAGGAUUAGAUACCCUGGUAGUCCACGCCCUAAACGAUUUCUAGGUGGUUGUCGGGUUUUAAUUAACUUGGUAACGCAGCUAACGCGUGAAGUAGACACGGCGAUGGGAAUACCCCCACAGCUCCAG
rnacentral:rRNA from 1 species